GACGGAGGGGGCUAGCGUUGUUCGGAAUUAUUGGGCGUAAAGGGCGCGUAGGCGGCUUGGCAAGUGGAUGGUGAAAUCCCUCGGCUUAACCGAGGAACUGCCGUCCAAACUGCUUCGCUUGAGACCGGGAGAGGUGAGUGGAAUUCCCAGUGUAGCGGUGAAAUGCGUAGAUAUUGGGAGGAACACCAGUGGCGAAGGCGGCUCACUGGACCGGUACUGACGCUGAGGCGCGAAAGCGUGGGGAGCAAACGGG
rnacentral:rRNA from 1 species